GGUACCUCCAAAAUGUGUCCUUGGCUCCCCCAUUCUUAGUAAGGUGAUGGCAAUGGGUAGCAGUCUUCCAGUGAAGAAAAUGUUAAUAACUGGCAUCUCCAAAAUGUUUCCUUGGCUCCCCCCAUUCUUAGUAAGGAGCUGACAAUGGAUAGCCAUUCACCAGUGAAGAGAAUGUUAAUAACUGGUACCUCCAAAAUGUGUCCUUGGCUCCCCCCAUUCUUAGUAAGGUGCUGGCAAUGGGUAGCAAUCCACCAGUGAAGAGAAUGUUAACAAAGAUAUCAAACUUUCUGCAAAAUCAUGCUUCCAGGCUAUGGAAGACCACAGUUAGCAGAUGGUAGCUUCAAGCCAUUUGAAUAGGUAGGAAGGUAAUGGGAGAGCUUAGCCUUUCCCCACUACAUUCCUGCCAAUCCAACAAUGUUUCCCAAGAACUUUCUUCAUAGCCACUGAGAGCAGAUCUCUUAAUGCAAUGCUUUUUACCCUGAGAUGGAAACUGGAUCCCUGUUCUCUUAACUCAAGAUAGAAUCCUCUCCUUCCAAAGAGGUUUACUCCCCUUGGCAGAGCUCCCAGUGUGGAAUGACAGUGCACCUCCUUCAAGAAGGCACACAAGAUUGAGCCUAGGACACACUUUGACCAGAAGUAGUAGGCAGAUCUUGCUUGACCUUGCCUCCUACCCUUUGCUUGCCUAGAGGCUCUGCUCCUGCUUCUCCUUUCGCCAUGGCAACCCUACAAAGAUUAAAAACCCAACUUCUACCCUGUGGUCAGUCUUUUCCACAAAGAUUAAUGAAGGAAGAAGUCCUUAGAAGCUUCUCUUCUCUUUGGGAAAGGGGAAUCAAAAAAUAGUCUCAGAGCCAUGGCCCUUUCCUUUCUGGGGCCCCUGAGGGACUAGUACAGGUCUAGUUUAUUUUUUAAUUUUAAAUUAUGUAUUAUUUUAACUAAUUUGUUAAUUUUAAUUUUUUCAAUGAACACAAGUCUAUUGAUAACUGACAGUUCUCAAACCUGUGGUUGAAUUAUGGGGGUGUCUACCCCAAACAUGUGAAGACUUUCCUCACCAAACGGGCAGAUGAGGACAAUUUGUUCCCACAGCCAUGGCUGUGGAGCCACACUCAGAGCCUGACUAGACACUGAAGAUACCAAGAUCAUCCACUGUAUCCCACACUAAGAGGACUUUUGUCCUGUCCGGGGACAAUAAAGACUCUCGAAGAGAAAGUGAGGCUGAUUACUUUGUGCAACUCUGCCUCGCUUAAGUCCACUUCGCAUUCACAUGCAAAUCAAGACAUCACCUUUUGAUGUCAUUGGUCCUCUUCAAAAACAAAGGACAAACCAAAUGAACUGGAGGAGAAAAUAGCAAACCACUCCAAUGCCCUUGACCAGAAGACCCCCAAAUAGGAUCAUGAAGACACAAUUGACACCAUUAAAUGACAACAGCAAGAGAAGUAAGAAAAGAUAUUUUUUGCUGCAGUGAGGGAACAAAUAAGAUUAUGUAACAUACAUUUGUAAUAGACACAAUGAGCAGUUUUGUAUUUUUCACCAGUUUUGUUCAAUAGGACGAGUAGGAGUGAAGGUACAAGAUGGUGGGAGUAAUACAAGCUUGGGGCUCAACAAGGCAAGAUUUUUCAUAGAAUAGUCAAAUUAACAGCUAACUCUCAUAUAGUGCUUAUUAUGUUCCAGGUACUGUGAUUCUCAACUCAUAAAAUCUUGACAGCAACCUUGGGAAGUGGUGCUAUUAUCACCUCCAUUUUCCAAAAGAGGGAACUGAGCCAACUACCAAGUUUCUGAGGCCAAAUUUGAACUCAGAUUUUCCUGACCUCAAUCCUAGUUCUUUAGGUGCAGAGGUCCAGCCUCUGCGGGGUCCCAGGAACUGAGCAGGAGGAAUAGGAUCGGCAUCAAAGGAAGACAGGAGUCAUGGAGUAGCUUGAAUGAGGAACUGAUGGAAGUGAUGCUGCUUUCUCAGGCUCCUUCAGGCUUUAUUUUUAUACUAUAUCAUGAUUACACUAUUAUUACAUAUACAUUUCCUUAGGUCAACAUAGUCUUCAGACAUAUGUCAGAUUUGUGGUUUACAUUCUUCUGUUCAUACAUCAGACAGUUGACUUAAUGACCUUUUUUUAUCUGGCACCUAGCUCAAUAGUCCCUUUUCUUCUGACUUCUUGAUCUUUAUAUGUUAUAAUAUUUGAGCAAAUAUU
ensembl:lncRNA